rnacentral:lncRNA from 1 species
GUAGUAAAUGUUGGGUACUGUUUCCAGUGACGGUGAAUACUAUCAAAACUGGAAGAAAGGAGGAGAGAGGAGUAUCUUAUGUUCUGUGAUUGAUGUUUCUGCCGGGAAACCUGUAAAUGAAUGAAGCCAUUUGUUGGACUGAGCAAAUCAGCAACGAUCAACAGCUGGACACAGUGGAACUGAAAUUUCCCUCAGAUGACAGCUGCUUUCUACUGCUUACUGCUGUGAGGGGUCAACUUGUGAUGUCCAGCUACAUGUCCCGAGGUGCAGUUCUUACAGUCAGAACCCAGACAGACAAAGCUGGAUACCUGUAUGAUUCACACACAUCUGUAGGAUGUUGCUGCCCUCCAUUUGUACAACGGCCCACAUGGCAGCUGCCUUCGUACAGGUUGGAAGAGUCACUGGAGUGAACAAGUGCCCUGAUUAAACUCUUCUUCUCUUCCAGUCCCCAGCAAAUCUUUGAAUCCUGAGGAGAUGAUAAUUAAUGCAGAACUUUAAAUAGCUUUUCAGAGAAGCAAUUCAGGUUGCAUGUAGUAGACACAACUUUCAUAAGUAUAUGGAAAACAGAUUUACUCUUUAGAAGAAGGUUAAAUUUCAGUCUUAAUUACAAAUGUCUCUUUUUUGUACAACAAUUUUUAAAUUAUAACUCCCUGAAGAAUAAAUAUUCCAUAAGACUGGAUAACA